GGUACAGAAUUAUCUUUGCAGUUUGUUCCUGAAUCCAUAGCAGAAGUGUAUUGGGAAUAUUUUGCAUGCGUAGUUUUGUAUC
rnacentral:pre_miRNA from 1 species